CUGGCCGUGUUAGGCUUCGCUGGCGUAAAGUCCCCGGGAGCUUUGCCCCUCACGGAGAACGUUAGUUGACCCUGAUGGGGACCCGUAGGGUAAAGGUUUUGUUUUUGUUUUUUUUUACGGAAAAGGUUGUGGUUAGGCCCCUUGGAAAGUUGCGACAAAACUCGAGUUAGACAAGGAAGGUCGGAACUAAGUGGCCACAGCAACAAUGCACCAGCAAGCAGGGAGCGUGAUAGGAAGAGCUAAAGAGGAAUCGGGAAACCCUGGGUAAAAGUCGUCCAAGUGGAACUUCCUUUGGUCGGGGGUCUGAUACUCGAAGGAAACGGUCUUUCACUUCUGGGUUAGGGCGUCCGCCCAGAGGGCGACUGCAAUGAAGGAAAUUGUGCCCUGCGACUUCCCGUAACAGAGCUGUGUGUCCACGCUCCCUUUUCCGAGCAGGCGCGGACGCUUGUGCCGGAAGUAAACUUGUUAACGGUUCUUUGCCUUUUGGGGAGGGGAGACAGCCCAGAGAAGGCUUUGGAGACCCUUGAGUCGGCCAGCGAGCAGGGUUUCUUACUUGAGCGCCUCCACAAAUAAACGCUCCUUCGCUCCUCCGUCGCGUGCGUUUCCCUGGGAUAAUAAGUGGGAAAGUGGUGGCUUUUAUUUUUUUGAGACAGGGUCUCACCGCCGUCGCCCAGGCCGGAUGGAGUGCAGUGGCGCGAUCACGGCUCACUGCAGCCUCGACUUCCCAGGCUCAGAGAUGGGUUUCACCAUGUUUCCCAGCCUUGUCUCAAACUCCUGACCUCAAGUGAUCCGCCGUCUUGGGUCUUCGAAAGUGCUGGGACAGCAGGAGUGAGCCACCGCAUCUGGCCCGGAAAGUGUUUUGGAGCGUAGAAAAAUGCAAAUUAUAGGGCUGCCUUCAAGGAUCCCGAAGGACCCACAGAUUUGCCGCAUCAGGCUCCUAUGCACGCCGGUAAUUUGAUGUGUUGAGAUGCACUGCCCAGUGCGUUGUUUUUACUGGAGGAGCUUGUGUGCGGAGCUCCUUGCUAGUGUAUGUGUUGGGAUGGGAGAGAAGUGCGGGAGAACUAUGAGAUAAUGCCCCCUGAUCCUCAGGGUCUUAGGAGGUAUGGUCGGAGAGGCUAAGCUAAAGUAUGAAAGCCGUGUGUAGGCCCUUCUGUGUAGUGCAGAAAAGGUAGAGGUAUGUGAUUUGAAAGAGUAGGGAUGACAUGGAGGAUGCGACUCCUGGUUGGAUCUAUAAACUAAUGUCUUUGGAACGAAAGCACAUGCAACCUUUUGAAAAUGGAUGGGUGAUAAUGAAAGACCAUUCCAGAGAAGAAACACCAUGUAAAAAGUAAGAUUUGAUGAGAAAGAUGGAAUCGAUUUUUAAAUUUUUUUAUCUACACAACAAAAUUUAUUAUCUUAACCAUUUUUGAGUGAAUAAUUCGUUAGUAUUAAGUAUAUUUACCUCGUGCGGCCAGUCUCCAGAAUUCUUUUCAUCUUGCAAAACAAACCCCGAACCCAUUAAACAAUUUCUCAUUCGCCAUUUUCCAGCUAGCCUUGGUAACCUCCAUUCUAGUUCUGUCUCUGUGAAUUUGACUGUGUACCCCGUGUAAGUGGUAUCAUACAGUAUUUGUAUUUUUGUGACUGGCAUAUUUCACAUAGCAUAAUCUCCUUGUGGUUUAUCCAUCUUGUAGCAUGUGUCAGAAUUUCCUUCCCUUUUAAGACUAAAUAAUAUUCCAUUGUGUGUAUAUACCACUUGUGUUAUUUCCACCUUUUGGUUAUUGUGAAUAAUACUGCUUCAAACAUGAGUGUACAGAUAACUCUUCAAGAUCCUUUUAGGGUAAUACAGAGAUAGUAAGUUAUCUUGAUUGUUCACUGCCAGUUACAGACCAAACUCCUUGUUCUCCUUGUGCUCCACUUCUCAACCACUGCACUUGGCUAGUCUUAAACAAAAAAAGAAAAACCCUAAUUUUAAUAGCUUGUGGGGACAGACGCAGUGGCUCACGCCUAUAAUCCCAACACUUUGGGAGGCCGAGGUGGGUGGAUCACUUGAGGUCAAAAGUUCGAGACCAGCCUGGCCAAUAUGGUAAAACCCUGUCUCUACUAAAAAUACAAAAAUUAGCCGGGUACGGUGGCACACACCUGUAAUCCCAGCCACUCAGGAGACUGAGGCAGGAGAAAUGCUUGAACCCAGGAAGUGGAGGUUGUGGUGAACGGAAAUUGCGCCGCCGCACUCAAGCUGGGCGACAGCGAGACUCCGUCUCAAAAAUUAGUAUUAAUAGAAUGUGGGAGAUUUUGAAACCAAGUAUAGAAAUUCAUACUUUAUAUUGUUUAAGGUCCGUGACUAGGCAUAGUAACAUGAUGAAAGAACUGUUUUGGGUUUGUUUGGUUUUUUUCCGAGACAGAGUCUCACUCUGUUGCCCAGGCUGGCGUGCAGUGGUGCGAUCUCGGCUCACUGCAACCUCUGCCUCCCUGGUUGAAGCGAUUCUCUUUCCUCAGCCUCCUGAGUAGCUGGGACUACAGGCACAUGCCACCACGCCCAGCUAAUCGUUGUAUUUUUAGUAGAGGCGGGGUUUCACCAUGUUGGCCAGGAUGGUCUCGAUCUCUUGACCUCGUGAUCCAGCCUCCCAAAGUGCUGGGAUUACAGGCAGGAGCCACCACGCCCAGCUAGAAAGAUCUGUUUCAGAAAGCAACUCUGGCAGUGGAAGCUGAAUACAUACUCCAUUUCUAUAAAGCAUUUAUGGAGGCCUCUAGAUGUGCCAGGCAUUGUACUACUGCUUUAUGUAAAUUAUUGAUGGGUCCGCGAAUCCAUUAAUAUAAAUGUGAGCCAGUUGUUGUGCACCCCAAUUUACAGGCAAGAAAAUCAAGGUUCUGAGUUGCAGAUGGGCUGAGAAAAGGCUCACCAACCACAUGUACGCACAAGAGAUUAGGAAAGAAAACUGCCAUUGGAGCCAGGCUCCAGUAAGCACUGAGUAUUCAUUGGUUUGGAUGAGGAUACUGAAAGAAAAAAAUGACAUGUAAGAGUGACUUUUCUCAGGAGAAAGAAUAGGCUGACAUCAAGAGUCUUUGCUGUCACAUUAGUGGUAUGUAUAAGGGCACAACACAACAGAAGUACAUUUUUCAAGGUUCGUAAAAGAACCCUGGGGUUUGCUUUUAGGUUUGUUUAUUACCUUUAACAAAUAUAAAAUGCCAGGUAAAUAUAUCUUUGUAUGUAGUAGAGAAAUUAAUAAGACAUACCCUUCCCUACUCAACAUUUCAUCUUUGAUUUUAUAUUCUCAAAAAUAUUGUGAGGUCUUUUAAGGAAAUGAUCUCCUUUUGGCAGAUGAGGAAAUUGAGGGCCAGAGAGGAAAAAUUAUCUUCCCAAUGCCACAUGCCUAAUUGGUCUCAAAGCUUUGACUGGAACCUGAGCCUCCAGAAUUGCUGCUAUGCUUUCAUCUCCCUUAGAGAGAUAGAUAACAGUAGUCAGAGUGAGUGGACAAUUCUUCUAUUCAGUCAGUCUGAUCUUCCUCAGGGAUGCAUAUCCAGACUCCCAUGCAGCUAGUGAUAGUUAAACAAAGAGGCAGAGAAUAUAGUGCAUUAUAAAUAGCAUUCAUACACUCAAAAAUAUUGUGUGCCGAUACUGUGCCAAACACUUAGCAAAGCAGGGAAAAAUCCCUGUCCUCAUAGCAGAGACUAAAAAUAUUAAUAAGUAAAAUAUAUACUAAGACAGGUAGGAUAAGUGUUGGCAAGAAAAAGUGAAGCAGUGAGAGGGGAAUAGGGUGAGCCGAGAGUAGGGAGGGAGGUUUUUGUUUAUACCAGAGGCAGAGGAGCCCCACUGAGAAGGCAAACUGUACAAAGAUCUAAAGGAGGCAAAGGAACAAGAAAUGUGCCUUGGGUGGACAGGGAACAUUCUGGGUGGAAUAACAAGUGCAGAAAUCAUUAAGGCAGAAAGAUGCCUACUACAUUCUGAGAACAGAAAGCAGUCCAGAGUGAUAGAAGCAGAGUACAGGAGGGUAAAAGUAGGAAAUGAAGUCAGAGAGGUAAGAGGAAUUCAAAUUGGGCAUGGACUUACAGGCCAUUGUAAGGACUUUGGCUUUUUCUGAGGGAGAUGGGAAGCCAUCGUUGAGUAGAAAAAUAGUGAAAUUCUACUUAUAUAUUUAAAGAAUCACAUUGACUUCUAGUUUGACACUAGAUUAUUGAGGAGCAAGGGGGACCACUUAGGAAGCUAUUGUAAUACUCCAGGUGAGAGAUAAGUGGCAUAGAAAAGGUGCAAGCAAUAAAUUCCAUUUUGGGCCAGGCAGGGUGGCUCACACCUGUAAUCCCAGUACUUUGGGAGGCCAAGGCAGGCAGAUCGCUUGAGCUCAGGAGUUCAAAACCAGCCUGGGUAACAUGGUAAAACCCCAUCUCUACAAAAAUUAGCCAGGUAUGGUGGCAGAUGCCCAUAGUCUCAGCUGCUUGGGAGGAUCACUUGAGCCCUGGAGGUGGAGGUUGCAGUGAGCCAAAAUGGCACCACUGCACUCCAGCCUGGGUGACAGAAUGAGACCCCGUCUCAAAAAGACAAACAAAAAUUCUGUUUUGGAGCUUAAAUUUGAGAUGCCUGUUAGAAUGCCACAUGAAAAUAUUAAGAAGAGAGUUAGAUAUGUAGGAGUCUGGAAUUUAGAAAUGUCCAGACUGGAGAUGUAAAUUUGGGAGAGAGCAUGUAGAGAGUAUUUGAAGCCAUGAAAUAAUCUACAUAUAAAGUGUAGACAGAUGUUUGAGAAAGGUAUCUUAGGCACUGAAACAGGAGGAAACCAGGAAAAGAAUCCCAGUUGAACUGGGUGGGGAGGAUGGCUCAAGGAAGAACAACCAUGUCAAUUGCUGGGUUCUAACUGGCCACUGCUUAUGAUAGUGGAGUAGUAAGGAUAAAAGCCUGAUUGGAAUGGAUUUAGAAUAGUGGGAACGGAAUUGGAGAGAGGGAGAAUAGAUAAUUUGGGUAUGGAGUUGGUUGUAAGGAUAGCGGGUAGAAAAGUGAUAACUGCAAGGGGUCAAGACAGUGGUUUUAAAAUUACUUCACAAAUUUUUUAGUAUUUCUAAAAGAAUUCUUUUUUUAAUAAAUAUAACUUCAGACCGCUAUUGUUCCUUUGUAUCAACUACCCUGUUAUUCAAAUUAACCCAACUGUCUUAUAAAAUUUUUUGCUACCAGCUUUAUUGAGAUAUAAUUCAUAUACCAUACUAUUCACUCAUUUAAAGUAUACAAUUCAACAACUUUAGUGCAUUCAAAGAGUUGUGCAGGGUGGGCGCGGCAGCACAUGCCUGUAAUUCCAGCACAUUGGGAAGCCAAGACGAGGAUCAUUUGAGCCAAGGAGUUCGAGCUCAGCCUGGGCAACAUGCAAAACCACUUCUCUACAAAAAUUAGCUAGGCGUGGUGGUGUGCGCAUGUAGUCCCAGCUACCUGGGAGGCUGAGGUGGGAGGAUUACUUGAGCCCAGGAGGCAGACAUUGCAGUGAGCGCCACUGCACUCCAGCCUGGGCAACAAAGUGAGACCCUGUCUCAAAAAAAAAAACAAAAGUUGUGCAACCACCAUUACAAUUUGUUUUAGGACAUUUUCAGCACCCCAAAAAGAAACAUUACUAUGCACUUAGGGUGAUAAUGAUGUGUCAGUGUAGGUUCAUCAAUUGUAACCACUCCGGUGAGGGAUGUUGAUAAUGGGGUGACUGAUUUUGAUUUGCUGUGUGUGUGUGUGUGUGUGUGUGUGUGUGUGUGUGUGAGAGAGAGAGAGACAGGGUCUCACUCUGUCACCCAGGCUAGCAUGCAGUAGCACAAUUACAGCUCACCACAGCUUCAACCUCCCAUCGCAGCCUCCUGAGUAGCUGGGACAACAAACGCGCACCACCAUGCCUAGCUAAUUUUUGUGUUUUCUGUAGAGACAGGCUUUCACCAUGUUGCCCAGACUCGUCUCGAAGUCAGCUCAAGUGAACCCCUGCCCUGGCCUCCCAGAGUGCUGAGAUUACAGGCCUGAGCCACCAUGCCUGGCCAAUUUGCUUUUUUUUUUUUUUUUUUUUUGAGACAGGUCUCGCUCUGUUGCCCAGGCUGGUGUGUGUGCAGGCUGGCACAAUAUUGGCUCACUGCAGCCUCCACCUCCUGGGCUCAAGCGAUCCUCCCACCUCAGCCUUCUAAGUAGCUAGGACUACAGACAUGUGCCACCAUGCCUAGCUAAUUUUUUUAAUUUUUUUGUAGAGACGGGAUUUAGCCAUGUCACUCAGGCUGGUCUCAAACUACUGGGCUCAAGUGAUCCUCUCACCUUGGCCUCCCAAAGUGUUGGGAUUACAGGUGUGAGCCACUGCACCCAGUAGAUCAUGUGUUUUUUAUUCUUUGUUAAUAUGGGCCAUUACAUUGCUUUUAUGAAUUCCCAGAGCAAAUCUCACUUGAUUAUGAUGUAUAAUCCUUUUUAUAUGUCACUGAAAUUGAUUUGAUAGUAUUUUGUUGAAGACUUUUGCAUCUUUGUUAAUAAGAGCUAUUGAGGCAGGGCAUGGUGAUGAAUGCCUGUAAUCCCAACACUUUGGAAGGCCAAGACGGGAGGAUUGCUUGAGCUCAGGAGUUGAAGACAAGCCCAGGCAACACAUUGAAACCCUGUCUCUACAAAAAAUACAGACAUUAGCUGGGCAUGAUGAUAUAUGCCUGUAGUUCCAGCUACUUGGGAGGCUGAGGCGGAAGGGUCACUUGAGCCCUGGAGGUCAAGGCUGCAGUGUGCCAAAAUUGCACCACUGCAUUCCAGCCUGGGCAACAGAAUGAGACCCUGUCUCAAAAAAUAAAUAAGUAAAUAAGAGAUAUUUGUCUCUAAUUUUCUUGUGAUGUCUGAUUUUGGUAUCAAGAUAAUACUGGCCAUAUAAAAUGAGUUGGGAAAUGUUCCCUCCUCAUCUAUUUUUUCAAGAAUUUGUGAAGUUUUGCAUUCAUUAUUAUUACUUUUCUUUUUUGAGACAGAGUCUCACUCUGUCACCCAGGCUAGAGUGCAGUGGCACCAUCUUGGCUCACUGCAACCACCUCUGAGUUCAAGCGAUUCUCGUGCCUCAGCCUGCCGGGUAGCUGGGACUAUAGGUGUGCGCCACCAGGCCCAGCUAAUUUUUGUAUUUUAUGUAUUUAUUUAUUUAUUUAUUGAGAUGGAGUCCCACUCUAUUGCUCAGGCUCCUAGGCUGGAGUGCAAUGGCGUGAUCUUGGCUCACUGCAACCUUCACCUCCCAGGUUCAAGCAAUUCUCCUGCCUCAGCCUCCUGAGUAGCUGGGAUUACAGGUGCGUGUCGCCACGCCUGGCUAAUUUUUGUAUUUUUAGUAGAGACGGGGUUUCACCGUGUUGGACAGGCUGGUCUCGAACUCCUGACCUCGUGAUCCACCUACCUUGGCCUCCCCAAAGUGCUGGGAUUACAGAUGUGAGCUACCAUGCCUAGCUAUUUUUUUUUUAUUUUAAGUGGAAACAGGGUUUCGUUAUGUUGGCCAGGCUGGUCUCAAACUCCUGGCCUCAAGUGAUCCACCCACCUCGGCCUCCCAAAGUGCUGGGAUUACAGGUGUGAGCCACCAUGCCCAGCCUGCGUUCUGUGUUUGUUUGUUUGUUUGUUUGUUUUUGAGACAGACUCUUGCUCUGUCACCCAGGCUGGAGUGCAGUGUUGCGAUCUUGGCUCACUGCAGCCUCUGCCUCCUGGGUUCAAGUGAUUCUCCUGCCUCAGCCUCCUGAGUAGCUGGGAUUACAGGCACCUGCCACCAAGCCCAGCUAAUUUUUGUUUUUUGUAUUUUUAGUAGAGACAGGGUUUCACCAUGUUGGGCAGGGAAUGGUCUCGAGCUCCUGACCUCAUAAUCCACCUGCCUCAGCCUCCCAAAGUGCUGGGAUUAUAGGCGUGAGCCACCACACCUGGCCAUCGUUGAUUAUUUUUUAAAUGUUUGGUAGAAUUUACCAGUGAAGCCAUUUGGGCCUAGGCUUUUUUUUGUGGGUAGUUUUUCUUUCUUUCUUUCUUCUUAUUAAUUCAAUCUCUUUAUUAUAAGUCUAUUCAGACUUUCUAUUCCUUCUCAAGUCAGUUUCAGUAGUUUAUGUCAUUCUAGGAAUUUGUCCAUUUUAUGUAAGUUAUCUAUUUUGUUGGCAUUUAGCUAUUCAUAGUAUUCUUUUUUGAUUCUCUUUAUUUCUGUAAGGUCAGUAUUAAUGUACCUGUCUCAUAAUACUGUUUUUUUCCAGUGUGUUCAAAUCAGGCCAAAUAAUUCUGAUACACAAUAUUCGAUUUAUUUGUCUCUGUGGUCUCUUGUAAUAUAUAGAUUUCCUUCCAUCUCAUUUUUUCUUGAUAUAUAUUUAUUGAAGAAAUGAAAUUACUUGUAUAUUUCUCACAUUCUAUAUUUUUCUGAUUGUAUUCUUGGAAGUCAUUAACAUGUUCUUCUAUCCCCUAGCUAGUUGAUAGGUAGUUCUUUAUUAUGAUUUAGGUUUGAUUUUUUUAUGGCAAACUAUUUCUUUUUUUUCCACCAGUUGUCAAAUGAUCCUUUACUGAAAUAUUUUCCUUUGUGCUUCUUAACUAGCUGGGCAUUCCACAGCACCACUGUUGAUGUCAUCUAUGAUUUCAUGAGGGUGGUGGCUGUCAACAUUACAACCCAAAGACUGGGCAGUCCCCAGGAUCUCUUUAAUGUUUCCAGAGAGUUCUCUGGAUCUCUCCAGAUUGGUGCCACAUCUGUUGAGCAAUGUUGAUGAUCUCAUCAAAAGUGAUAUUCCCACUGUGUUUAAUGUUUUUCUGUUUAUUUCUGUCUUGAUGGUUCCUCGAGGGCUUUGAUGAUCAGGGCAGAGGCAGAAGGCACCACCUCAAUCUGGGCCUGUCUGUUCUGAAUGGUCAGUUUUCACUGUAAUCCUCAGGCCCUUCCAGUCACCCGUUGUCUUGGCAAUGUCGUCACCAACUUCACCCCCAGUGCACCUCAGAUCCGAAAGCAGCAAAACUAUUUAUACAUCGAUUAUCAGGCACAUAGUUUCCAAUUUUAUCUCUUUUCGUGAAGUUGGCAGUCAUUGAUGACCACUGCCUAGGUUCAUUAUUACAAUUGAAAUAGUUCAAUAGAAGGCAGAGUAUGGGCAUCAAUCAGUCCAGACUAUAAGAACUUUUGGGAGGUGACUUUUGAUGAUUAUGAGUACUACAUUCUAUACUAUUCUUAGAACCUUGGCAUCAGGGCUGGGCGCAGUGGCUCAGGCCUGUAAUCCCAGCACUUUGGGAGGCCCAGGCAGGCGGAUCACCUGAGGUCAGGAGUUUGAGACCAGCAUUACCAAUAUGGUGAAAUCCUGUCUCUACUAAAAAUACAAAAAUUAGACAGGCAUGGUGGCUUGUGCCUGUAGUCCCAGCUACUCAGGAGGCUGAGACAGGAGAAUUGCGUGGAUCCGGGAGGUGGAGGUAUCGUGCCACUGCACACCAGCCUGGGCAACAGAGCGAGACUCCAUCUCAAAAAUAAAUAAAUAAAUAACCUCGGAGUCAGGAGAUGGGAUCUACUCCCAACUCUGCCACCAACUAGCUGAGCAUCCUCUUUGGCACCUGUUUUCUUAUCUGUAGAAUGGGGGAAUAAACUAAUACAAUGUCUAGGACUUUUGGCUAUUCUAACAUUCUCUGACUAAACAAGUAGAGGACUUAAUCUUUCCCAAAGAUGAUUUGGGUGAGUUAAAAAGGAACUGCUGACCUUGUGUUAUUAUUCCCAUUUCAUACCAAAAAUGUUUAUUUCAAAGCCAACAUUUAUCAGUCAUUAAAUCCAGUAAAGUAUAUAACAGAGUCCAUUAAAAGUAUUAUGAGGCAAGGUAUGGUGGCUCACUUCUGUAACCCCAGCACUUUGGGAGACCGAGGCGGGCAGAUUGCUUGAGUCCAGGAGUUCACGACCAGCCUGGCCCACAUGGCAAGACCCCAUCUCUACAAAAAAUACAAAAUUUAGCCGGGCACAAUGGUGCAUGCCUGUAGUCCCAGCUACUUGGUGGGGCUGAGCUGGGAGGAUCGCUUGAGCCCAGGAGGUCAAGGCUGCAGUGAGCCAUGAGUGUGCCACUCCACUCUAGCCUGGAUGACAUAGUGAGACCCUGUCUCAAAACAAACAAACAAAAAAAGUGAAAAGUAUCAGGAGAGCAGGAAGCCAAGGCCAAAAGCGUUGUUUUCUGGAUUCUAGUUCUGGCUCUGCAGCUAAUCAACAUGCACUCUCAGUGUCCUGUCCAUAGGGUAAAAGAUUGCAUGAGUAGCUCUAAAGGCCUGUAAGCUUUAUGAUUUUAUGCCUAUUCUUGAUUUUUCUCACAGUUUUGAGGAUGCUAUUUUUGUUAAUAUCUUUUUUUUUAUACUUUUAAGUUUUAGGAUACAUGUGCACAAUGUGCAGGUUUGUUACAUAUGUAUACAUGUGCCAUGUUGGUGUGCUGCACCCAUUAACUCGUUAUUUAACAUUAGGUAUAUCUCCUAAUGCUAUCCCUCCCCCCUCCCCCACCCUAUUUUUGUUAAUAUCUUUAGCGCUACUUGUUUUUAUCUGCAUUCUGAUUAUGCUUUACUCAGCAACUAACUGGCAUAGGCCUGCCCCAGGUGUCAGUUCGUAUAGCAAAUUCAGCUUGAGCAUAAAGAACUUUCUGGAAGCAAAGACACCAAAAUAUUAGCAAUUUAUUAUUUCUAGGUGGUAAGAUUAUUGGUCAUUUUAAAAUUUACAUUUGUAUUCUUUAUUUUAUUCUACAAACAUAUAUUUUUUUGGCCAGGCACGGUGGCUCACACCUGUAAUCCCAGCACUUUGGGAGGCCAAGGCAGGUGGAUUAGCCAGGUGUGGUGAUGGGCGCCUGUAAUCCCAGCUACUUGGGAGGCUGAGGCAGGAGAAUAACUUGAACCCGGGAGGCAGAGGUUGCAGUAAGCCAAGAUCCCGCCACUGCACUCCUGCCUAGAUGACAGAGUGAGACCCUCUGUCACACACACACACACACACACACACACACACUCUCUCUCUCUCUCUCUCUCUAUAUAUAUAUAUAUACACACACACACACAUAUGUAUAUAUAUUUUUUAAAAAAUUUUUUUUAUUUUUAGUAGAGACAAGGUCUCGCUAUGUUGCCCAGGCUGGUCUUGAACUCCUGGGAUCAAGGGAUCCUCUCACCUCAGCCUCCCAGAGUGCUGAGAUUACAGAUGUGAGCCACUUGGCUGGCACUUUUUUUUUUUUUUUUUUGAAAUGGAGUCUCUCUUUCUUGUUGCCCGGGUUGGAGUGCAAUGGCGUGAUCUUGGCAACCUCCACUUCUCAGUUUCAAGCAGUUCUCCUGUCUCAGCCUCCCAAUUAGCUGGGAUUACAGGCGUGCACCACCACGCCCAACUAAGGCAUAUUUUUAUAAUAUUUUAAAAGUUAUUCUUAAGGCAUUUGAUAGCAUAUUUUUGAUUGCAUGCCCCAGCAAAGAGGAAUCACUAAACUUUAGGUCAGUAGAUUUCUUUCUCUUCCUAUAAUUCAGUUUGGCAGCAUCUUCCAUUCUAAGUUAACCUAAAUACUUUAGUAAUAAAGACUUACAUGUAUCUAAUUAGAUAGUCAGCUUUACUUAAUCUUCUUAAUCAUCUAGAUUAGAUGUUAAGUGAAAAAAUAUUUUGUGCCUACAGAAAUUAAGAUUCGGAAAGAACAGUAGCACAUACAUGCUAUCAACAUCUGUGUCAUAACUCAUAUGGAAUCUGGAUUUGCGCUACUUGGGGAACAGGUAGUGUCUGCUAGAGAAGUGGUGUGACAGAAACAUGGGCAAAGGCAGGGUGUGUCUUUUGUAAAUGAUGAAAACAGAAGAUUAAAAACAAGUUUGCUAAAUCAUGUUCAUAACCACUCCCUGGAGAGCAAUUACUCUGAUUACUCGACUUACCUGGUAAGUACCACCCACUGUAGGAGAAAAUACAGAUGUUUGGUUCACUGUUAUGGGUUUCCCCAUGUGCAAAGGUGUUAUGCUGCUGCUAUGCUCGUCUUUAAACACUGUAGUAGCAGUUACUGAAGAAUGGUAGAGUAAGGGGUGCCCUCACAGCUGUCAACUCACUGUGUGAUCCAGACGAGUAACGUAGCCUGGUCGCAAGCUCCAAGGUUACUUAUCUUUAGUGGAGGGGAUAGUUCUAGUUUCCAGUGUUAUCACGACUAGUAAAAUUGAUAUUAUAAAAUCCACUUCUCAGUAAGGAAGGCAGUUUGAAAGCGUUCUUGUUGUGAGAAGCAUGACAAAUACAGGCAGUUCUAUGGACAGUGUUUAUGUAAAACAAAUUAUUGAAUAGCCAUUUGAACAUUAACUGUUGCCCAGUGUGUUAUAAUGUGUACCUGCUCAGGCAUUUUGAAGACUCUUCUUACACCUAGUGAGGACCAAGGGCAAAUAGCAAAAAGUAACCUGACAUAGAGUUUUAGUUUGGAGAUUUUCUUUUGAAUUGCCCUCAGGGAGAUUUCUCAAGCAACACUGGUCCAUGCCAAUUUGCAAAUGGACUCUUGUGCCAGUGGCUCAAUCAACCCAUCCAAAUGCAGAGAACCAUUUGGAGGCAUUCAAAACCAAAUGAGGGGCAAUUUUCUUUCAUUUAUAUGCUGUCUGUUAACCUCUCUUUCACCAAAAAUUAACCUGAUUCUGGGUAUGCAUACCUGAAAAAACACAAUUUUUACACUCAAGGAAGUUUCAUUUUUUCAUAGGAAAAAAUCAACUAUUACUAAACUAUACAGUUACUACAGUGAUGGAGAUGUGUGCAGGCUGCUGUAGGAACAUAAAAGGGAGCGCCUAACAGGUGUGGGUGAGUCAAAGAGAGCUGGGGAGGAAUGAAGGCAACAUUCUUGAGCUAAACCAAAUAAACAAAACAUUGCAACUCACAAUUAUGACCUAUUUCAAACUCUUAGAACUACAGUAAUGAUUUAGACUAGUUCUCAUUUGGACAGGGUUUAUUUACUCUUACGGUUUCAAGCACCCCUUAAUCUUUCCAUUUUAACAAGGGUAUAUGGAGCUUCACAGAUAAUAUCUCCAAAAAUGGGCAUAUUUUGACUUGUAGACCAUCACCUGCACACACACUUCAAGGUCACUUUCAUACAGCAAAGUGAGGAAAGAGUUUAUUAGCUAGAUGAGAAUGUGUAAAUGAGGCCGGGUGUGGUGGCUCACGCCUGUAAUCCCAGCACUUCGGGAGGCUGAGAUGGGUGGAUCUCCUUUGGUCAGGAGUUAGAGACCAGCCGGGCCAACAUGGUGAAACCCUGUCUCUACUAAAAAUACAAAAAUUAGCUGGCAUGGUGGCGGGCGCCUGUAGUCCCAGCUACUCAGGAGGCUGAGGCAGGACAAUCCCUUGAACCCAGGAGGUGGAGGUUGCAGUGAGCCAAGAUCACGCCACUGCACUUCAGACUGGUGACAGAGCAAGACUGUCUCAAAAAAACAAUGUGUAAAUGAAACUGCCCUACUAUUUCUGCUUUAGUAAAAACAACAGAUUCUGGUCAGUAUUUGUUCACUUAUAUUGGGCAUAAGAUAAUUCCUGCUGUUUGUUGCAGAUCUUGGCAUACUGCCUGAUUGUCCUGCAUGGGAAUCUUGGACUGCUACUACAGCAAUUUCAUGACUGUGUUUCUUCUAUUUUUGUUUUUACCACGUUAGUUAUAUCAUGCAGUACUUGAAACGAAGGUGGAGUCUGUCACUCUGUCAGCCUGCAGUUUAAAAAGUUAGAUGAUGCAUUAAAAAAUCAACAAAUUUUGCCAGGAAGGCAGUGUGUGCCUGUGGUCCUAACUUCUCGGAAGACUGAGUCAGGAGGAUUGCUUGAGCCUAGCAGUUUGAAUCCAGUCUGGGCAACAUAGUGAGACCCUUUGUCUUAAAAAAAAUCAACACAUUUUAAAAGUAUUUCAAGAUUUGUAUUUGCCAUAUUUCCAAGCUAGUAUUAUUUAUUUAGAGUUUCCUAUUGCGGGUGAAAUUCUCUUGUCUUUUGCUGUUUGCAGUAACUUGAGUCUUUUUUCAUCUCUUCAGAUAAUCUACUUAUAUUCAUGCCAAGUUUUCUAGUUUUCCUAUUGCUUCCUCUAAUUUUCAAAUAGAGUAUAUACAAUAUUGAGCAUAGUUUCUCAUUAGUCUGUUCACAGUCACUAAACUAAUCCUCAAAUGUAUUUGAUUCUAUCACUUUCCAAAAUUUGCCUUUGCUGGUUCAUAAUAUAGUUACCUAACUUCCCCAGCUCUGCCCUCGCUCAUGAACUGUAUUUCUCUACAUUACCCCCACACUGCAUUGGCAUUCUGAGUCAUCGGGGAUUAGGUAUCCUUCCUGCUAUUAACUACAUAAUAUUUAAACUUCCCCACUUGCCCAUCUCCUUUAUUUCGUAUUCAAACACCACAUGAAUUAAACUAACGUUGGUUGCUUUUAACCUGUAAUUCCUGACUGCAACAGGUAGUUAGUUGCCACCUCUUGAAAUGAACAGAUUUGACUAGAAGCUGACACUUCUUACUCCCGCUGAACUUAGUAUUUUACAUUUAUAUAAAUUCAAAAAGCAAAAUCAUACCUUUCUUAUCAAUGGGCCCUCUUUGUCCAUUGAUAACAUAAUAUUGCAAUAUAAACAAAAAGUAUUUGUACCAUACCUCAGAAAACAAAUUAGAUUACUAUUAGUGCAAAACAGGGGAAAAGUAGAAAAAUGUUAUUGUAAAGAGACUAUCACCCACUUCAAGGGAUUUAUCAGGUAACUGCCUGUGUAAGUUACAAAGACAAUGCUAAUCUAUAACUAGUGUAUACCUAGAUGAGCCGCCAGGACAUUUGUCUAAUGGCAGAUGGGGUAAUUGGACUCCACAUCUUCAACUUAGGCACAUGGAAAACAGCAUCCCUAAAAGUUGCCUGGGGAUGACCAGUACUGAGCCAACCAGCUUAGUGGAACUGUUACGAGAGAGAAACUUCAGAGCCAAGGAAUUUCUUGGCAGAGCCUCACAUUCUGCCUUAGAAUCAUGAAAAGUUAGAUCUAGAAGGUAACAGAGAUCAUUUAAUCCACUGCCCUUAUUUUACGGUGAAAAACUGAAGGCCAGAGAAGUUAAGGAGUUUGCCUAAGGUCUCACACUCGUAGUUAGUGACAGAUUCAGAGCUAGAACUAGAUCAUCCUGACUGCAUUUCAGUAGUCUUAGAGCUGGCCGACAAAUCUGACAACUCACAUUGAACCCAUGUUCCAAAAGGUAUUUUAUAUUGAGCUUAUGAACACCGCUUUUUAAAUUUAUGUUAUUUAUUUAUUUAUUUAUUUAUUAUAUUUUAAGAUCUGGGAUACAUGUGCAGAACAUGCAGGUUUGUUACAUAGGUAUACAUGUGCCAUGGUGGCUUGCUGCACCCAUCAAUCUGCCAUCCUGUUUUAAGCCCCACAUUCAUUAGGUAUUUGUCCUAAUGCUCUCCCUCCUGUUGCCCCCCAUCCCUUGACAGGCCCCCGUGUGUGAUGUUCCCCUCUCUGCGUCCAUGUGUUCUCAUUGUUCACCUCCCACUUUUGAGUGAGAACAUGCGGUGUUUGGUUUUCUGUAUGAACACCCCUUUCACAGAAAAUUAGGCAAACAGGUUGGAAUAUUUAGAAUAGAAAACAUUUAUUAUAAAGUCACAAGAAAUACCUGUGUAGACUUGCUGACUGGAAGUAUUUGGCUUCCGUAAGACAAAGAAGAGUCUUAGUCAUCUGGUUAAAGUUAAAAACGAUUGUGUCACCAGGCUGAAAGCAGACAUGCUGUGGAAGCAGUAGGCUGAAAUUAGAACUGAAUACAAGAGUUUAGAGAAAAUUGAAUUUGGAGCUAUCUCACAACACUGGGAGUUAUUCUGUUUUUGUUUGCUUUUAAUAGGCACACAAAAAAGAAUAGUGACUACAAUGAACUCCUUGUGUAGCCCCACCAGACCCCAUUUUCUUCCCUCCCCACUGAAUUUGGUGCUUAUAUUUCCAUACCUAUUCAUGUGGUUUUCCUAUAGGUAAAUGUAUCCCUAAGUGAUGUUUAGCAUUAUUUUCAUAUUUUAAGCUACAUAAAUGCUAUCAUAUUGUAUAUAUGUGUCUACAACUUGCAUUUUUUUUUUUGCUUAAUACUACAUUUUUGAGAUUUAUCCUAUUGAUAAAUAGGAUUUCUCUAACUAAUUUAUUUUAUUUUUUGGAGAUGAGGUCCCGCUAUGUUACCCAGGCUGGAAUGCAGUGGCAGUUCACAGGCACAAUCAUAGCACAAUGUGGCCUUGAACUCCUGGACACAAGUGACCUCUUGCCUCAGGCUCCUGAGUAGCUGGGGACUACAGGCCCCAGCCACUGCACCAGGCCAGCUAAUUCAUUUUAACUGCUUUAUGGUGUUCCAUUGUAUGAAUGUUUCAACAUUUAGCUAAUCUCCUAUUGAUUGACAUCUAGUGAGUUUCCAGUUUUUUGAUUUGCUUUGUUUCAUUUGCUGUUUUAUUUUAAUGUUGCUACUGUAAACAUGUUUAUAAAACUGGUGCAUGUGUGAAAGAGUUUGUCUAGUAACAUUUACAAGGUCUCAGUGUGUGUGUGCAAAUCUUGAAUUUAGCAAGAAGAUCUCAAAAUAGCAGGUUAUGAGACUAACACAAGGACUGUGUAUUUUUAGAGUUUUAAUUUUUUGUGAAUCUGAAGAGUGUAAAAUACUGUUGCCUUCUGGUUUUAAUUUCUCUGAUUCCUUGUGGGGCUGAGUACCUUUCCAUGUGUUCACAGACAAUUUGGAUCUCCUCUUCUCCCUAGCUCACUUUUCAGAUGAGCUGCUGAACUUUUUAUUGUUCAUUCUGAAAAAUGUUCUAUAGUCAUUAUGUAAAUCCUUAUUAUAUGCAUUGCCAAUAUCUUCUCCUAAUCUGGAGCUUGACUUUUCACUUUUAUAAUGAUAUAUUUUCAUGAACAUAUUUAUCAAUCUUUUAUUUUUUAUUUAUACUUAUUAUUUCUUUAAAACAUCAUUUUUUCACUCUAAGGUCAUAAGAUAUUCCCCAAUAUUUUUCUUUAGUUUUUUUAAAGUUUUAUUUUUUUACAAUCUUCAAGUCUUUUAUGUGCCAGGAAUUAACUUGUGUGUAGUGUGAGGUCAGGAGCUAGUUUUAUUUUUUUCUACAUCGACAAGCAAUUGUUUAGAAACCAUUAAUUGAAUAUUACAUUUCUUCCCCACAGUUGGGUAAUGGCACUUUCAUCAUAUAUCCUGGACUCUCUAUCAGUCAGGUUAUUAUUCCUGUGCCUUAUUAUACCAUAUUAACUACUAUAUCUUUAUGGUAAGUCUCAAUAUCUGGAAAGCCCCUAUUUGUCAAGUGGAUGCAAUGGGAGCUAGAUGGAUUUGCACUAUCCUUCUUGAAUACCAUCCAAGAGGUAUGAAUACUGUGGGGAAGGAAACCCAGAAGGAUGUUAUCUUAGCCCUUUUGUGUUGCUAUAAAGGAAUACUUGAGGCUGUGUAAUUUAUAAAGAAAAGAGGAUUAUUUGGCUCACAGUUCUGCAGGCCUUAUAAGAAGCAUGAUCCAGCCUGACCAACAUGGUGAAACCCUGUCUCUACUAAAAAUACAAAAAUUAGCCGGGCAUGGUGGUGCGCCUGUAGUCCCAGCUACUCAGGAGGCUGUGGCAAGAGAACUGCUUGAACCUGGGAGGUGGAAUUUGCUGAACCAAAAUCAUGCCACUGCACUCCAGCCUGGGUGACAGAAUCUCAGGGAAAAAAAAAAAAAAAAGCAUGAUGCCAGCAUCUGCUUCUGGCAAGGGCUUCUGGCUGUUUCCACCAGUGGCAGAAGGGUAAGGGGAACUGGCAGAUUCAGAGAUCAUAUGGUGAGAGGGGUGGCAAGAAGUGGGAGGAGGUUCCAGGCUGUUUUUAGUGACCAGCUUUCCUGGGAACUAAUAGAGUGAGAACUCAGUACCACAAGGACAGCACCAAGCCAUUCAUGAGGCACCUGCCCCAUGACUGAGCAAAACACCUUCCAUUAGGCCCCACCUCUAACAUGGGGGACCACAUUUUAACAUGAGGUUUAGGGGGACAUGAAAACUAUAUCGGAGACUAUGGGGUCAGUCAUUGUUGCAGUAGCUGAGUGGGGAAAUGGGAAUCCUGGAACUGGAGAUCAGUGUCCCACAUCAAGGAACUGUGCUCUGUGGAGACCUGUGGGCCCUCUAAGAACUCACAUGUGUGUCUCCUGAGAGACAUCCAGGCCUUGGAUACCUGACCACAAAGGGCCUCUUGUGGUCCUUCAGUGUUAUUAAGUAGAACAACAGCAACCAGCAGAGGACUCCAGUUGCUUCCAGUGAAGUAAAAAGUCACUUUCUCUGAAAGUGGAGUUAAGAACACAAUUCUCCUUACAAUGGCUGGACGUGCUGGCUCAUGCUUGUAAUCCUAGCACUUUGGGAAACUGAGAUGGGCAGAUAACUUGCGGCCAGGAGUUCGAGACCAGCCUGGCCAACAUGGUGAAACCUUGUCUCUACUAAAAUACAAAAAUUAGCAGGGUGUGGUGGCACAUGCCUGUGGUCCCAGCUACUUGGGGGACUGAGGCAUGAGAAUCCCUUGAACCUGGCAGGUGGAGGUUGCAGUGAGCUGAGAUCACACCACACACUUCAGCCUGGGCAACAGAGCGAGACUCCAUGACAGAAAGAGAGAGAGAGAGAGAAAGAAAGAAAGAAAAUUCUUCUUACAAUAACAGCAAAAAGAAUAAAACAGGAAUAGAUUUAGCAAAAGAAGUACAAGACUUGUACACUGAAAACUGUUGAAAGAAGUUAAAGAAGACCAAACAAAAUCCCAGCCAGCUUCUUUGUACAAAUUGACAAACUAAUCCUACAAUUAAUAUGGAAAUGCAAGAGACCAAGAAAAGCCAAACUAUUUUGGAAAAAAAAAAUAACAAAGUUCCUGGAGGACUCACACUUUCUAAUUUCAAAGCUACAAUAAUCAAAACUUACUACAAACCCAAAAUAAUCAAAACGGCAUGGUAUUGGCCUACAUAUAGACAUAUUGACCAAUGGAAUAGAAUUAAGAGUUUAUAAAUAAACCCAUACAUCUGUGUUGAAUUGAUUUUCAACCAGGGUGCCAAUUCGGUGAGAAACAAACAUCCUUUCAACAAAUGGCUCUAGGACAACUGGAUAGCUACAUGCAAAAGAAUGAAGUUAGACCCCUUGCCUCACACCAUAUGUAGAAAUCUACAUGAAACUAAAACUGCUUUAAAAAAUAGUCUAUUUAUUUAGAAACAGGGUCUUGCUCUGUCACCCAGGCUGGAGUACUCUGACACAACAAUAGCUCACUGCAGCUUCAAACUCCUGGGCUCAAGUGAUGCUCCUGCCUCAGCCUCCUGAUAGCUAGGAUUACAGACAUAUGCCACCAUGCCCAGCUAUUAUUUAAUUUUUUGUACAGACCAAGACUGGGUCUUGCCAUGUUGCCCAGGCUGGUCUCAAACUGCUGGGCUCAAGUGAUCCUCCCACCUCGGCCUCACAGCACACUGCUGCAAAUUCCAUGAGAUGGGUGAAAAACUAUGAGUUCCCAACAUGUGAGAAGGGGGAAACCUGCCUCUGAACACACAUCUCCACUGGGGAACCUCAAAACCCAGAUUAUGGAAGAAGGAUUUAACCUUGCCUAGAGCUGAAAUGGAUUUAGUAUAAAAUAUAAAAGUAGAAAUAGUAGCAGGAAGAGCCUUGUAGGCGCUCCCAUUCUCCAGCUUGGGCCAGGGAAGCCAUCCCUGACUGUAUCUCACCGAGGCCAUUGAGGAAGACAGUUGGCAGAAUUUGGGCAGGGUCGCAGGGUGAAAUAAGCUUCCAACUGAACUGUGUAAUAAUUUUGACUGGGCGCAAACUCUGUCGAGCAGAAAUCGGGGGUGAAAGUGAACUGCUGCAGAAAGGAGCAUAGGAGCCACAGCUGACAGUGUGGGCAGACAGGGAGGGGCAAGGCCUGAAAGCCAUGCUUGCUUUCUUAGUGGGGAAACUUAUACCCUGGGGCUAGGUCUGAGUCCUGCACACCAGCUGCCUGGAGAUAAACUGUGCUGUUAGCGGGGCACAGUGGGAGUGAAACUGGCCUUGCCAACUGUGUGGUAGCUGGGUGAGCCCUGUGGCUACUUACUUUCCCCCACUUCCCUGGUGACAGAGGCGCCAUAAUCCACACUGGAACAUAACCCCAUUUGCCUGAGAAUCAGCCCCCUAUCCCCCACAGUGGCUGUGGCAAAAAGAGUCUGAGCUCAGACCUGCCUAAUCCUGCCCCAACCUGAUGGUAUUUCCCUACCCAUCCCAGUGCCCAGUCACAAAAGACAAACUCUUGGGAGCUUUAUGGCCCUACUUAUCACAUGAGAAACCUGAACACUUAUCCUGACCAACUUAGGGCAAGCUUAUAUCCCCCUUCUACUAUCACAGCUGGUGCUCUCCUGAACAUACCACCUCCUGGCUGGAGGCCAACCAACUCAAGAUAUGACAGCAACUCAUGACAAAAUAACACUGCUCCAAGGAAGGAAAAAACAGCUAACUCCACUAUCUGCAACAUCCUGGCUAAACAGAGGUCCUGUCCAUGUGGCAACAUCACUGCUAUCAUAACCAGCAUUUGAGAAAGCCAGCACACUAAACAUCUACAACCAAGGCUUCUCAUAGAGUCUAUGUCACUACCCUGCCACCUCCCCCAGAGGAGGUGCUGGUAUCCAUAGCUGGGAGACCUGAAGAUGGAUUACAUCACAACACUCUUUGCAGACACUCCCCAGCAUGAUCCUGGAGCUUGGAAGCCCCACUGGAUGCCUAGACCCAGAAAAGCAAUAACAAUCACCACAGUCUGGCUCUCAGAAAGCCCCAUCCCUAAGGAAAGGGGGAGUGCACCACAUCACGGGAUCACCCUGUGAGACAAAAGAAUCUGAACAGCAGCCCUUGAGUUCCAGAUUUUUCCACUAAAAUAGUCUACCCAAUAAGAAGAAAUCAAAAACAUAAUUCAGGUAAUAUGACAAAACAAGGUUCUAUAACACCCACAAAAGACCACACUAGCUUCCUAGCAAUGGAUCCAAACCCAGAAGGAAUCUCUGAAUUGCCACAUAAAGAAGUCAGAAGGUUGAUUAUUAAGCUACUGAAGGAGAUACUAGAGAAAGGUGAAAACCAACUUAAAGAAAUGUAAAAAUCAAGCCAGGUGCGGUGGCUCACGCUUGUAAUCCGAGCACUUCGGGAAGCCAAGGCAGGUCACUUGAGGCCAGGAGUUUGAGACCAGCCUGGCCAACAUGGCAAAACCCUGUCUGUACUAAAACAAAAACAAAAAUUAGCCUGGCUUGGUGGUACAUCCCUUUGGUCCCAGCUACUCAGGAUGCUGAGGUGGAAGGAUCACUUGAACAUAGGAGGUAGAGGUUGCAGUGAGCCAAGAUCAUGCAACUGCCCACCAACCUGGGUGACAAGCAAGACCCUCUCUCAAAACAAAACAAAAAGUUAAAAAAAAAUACAGGACAUGGAUGAAAAAUUCCCCAGAGGUAUAGAUAUCAUAAAGAAAAAACAAUUGGGCCGGGCGUGGUGGCUCAUGCCUGUAAUCCCAGCAUUUUGGGAGGCCAAGGCGGGCAGAUCACCUGAGGUCAGGAGUUCGUGACCAGCCUGACCAAAAUGGAGAAAUGCUGUCUCUACUAAAAAUACAAAAUUAGCUGGGCGUGGUGGUGCAUGCCUGUAAUCCCAGCUACUUGGGAGGCUGAGGCAGGAGAAUCGCUUGAACCCAGGAGGCAGAGGUUGUGGUGAGCCAAGAUCAUGCCAUUGCACUCCAGCCUGGGCAACAAAAGUGAAACUCUUGUCUCAAAAAAAAGAAAAAAAGAAACAAUCACAACUUCUGGAAAUGAAAGACACACUUAGAGACAUACAAAAUGCACUGGAAAGUGUCAACAAUAGACUAGAACAAGUAGAAGAAAAAACUUCAGAGCUUGACAAGGCUUUUGAAUUAACCCAAUCAGACAAAGACAAAGAAAAAGGAAUUUUACAAAAUGAAGAAAGCCACCAAGAAAUUGGGGAUUAUGUUAAAUAGACAAAACUAAAAAUAAUUGGUAUUCCUGAGGAAGAAGAGAAAUCUAAAAGUUUGGAAAACUUAUUUGAGGGAAUAAUCAAGGAAAACUUCUCUGGCCUUGCUAGAGAUCUAAACAUCCAAAUAGAAGAAGCUCAAAGAACACCUGGGAAAAUCAUUGCAAAAAGAUCACCUAGGCACACAGUCAUCAGGUUAUCUAAAGCCAAAACAAAGGAAAGAAUCUUGAGAGCUGCAAGGCAAAAGCCUCAGACAACCUAUAAAGGAAAACCUAUCAGAUUAACAGCAGAUUUCUCAGCAGAAACUCUACAAGCCAGAAGUGAUUGAGGUCCUAUCUUUAGCAUCUUCAGACAAAAUAAUUGCUAGACAAGAAUUCUGUAUCCAGCAAAACUAACCUUCAUAUAUGAAAAAGAGAGAAAUUAUUUUUCAGACAAACAAAUGCUGAGAGAAUUUGUCACUACUAAGCCAGCACUACAAGAAAUGCUAAAAGGAUUUCUAAAUCUUGAAACAAAACUUCAAAAUAUACCAAAAUAGAAACUCCUUAAAGCAUACAUUUCACAGGGCCUAUAAAACAAUGAAAAACAAACAAGGUAUUCAGGCAACAACUAGCAUGAAGAAUAAAAUAGUACCUCACAUCUCAAUAAUAAAAUGAAUAUAAAUGGCCUAAAUGCUCCUCUUAAAAGAUGCAGAAUGGGCUGGGUGUGGUGGCUCACACCUGUAAUCCCAGCACUUUGGGAGGCUAAGGCAGGCAGAUCACGAGGUCAGGAGAUCAAGACCAUCCUGGCUAACACAGUGAAACCCCGUCUCUACUAAAAAUACAAAAAAAUAGGCCAGGCAUGGCAGCAGGCACCUGUAGUCCCAGCUAACCAGGAGGCUGAGGAAGGAGAAUGGUGUGAACCCAGGAGGCGGAGCUUGCAGUGAGCCGAGAUCGUGCCUCUGCACUCCAGCCUGGGCGACAGAGCGAGACUCCGUCUCAAAAAAAAAAAAAAAAAAAAAAAAUUGCAGAAUGGCAGAAUGGAUAAAAAUCUACCAACCACAUAUCUUCUGUCUUCAAGAGACUGGCCUAAUGCAUAAGGAUUCACAUAAACUUAAUGUAAAGGAGUGGGAAAAGAUAUUCCUUGCAAAUGGAAACCAAAAGUGAGGAAGAGUAGCUAUUCUUAUAUCAGACAAAACAGACUUUAAAGCAACAAGUUAAAAAAGACAAAGAGGGACAUUAUAUAAUAAUAAAAGGAUCAUUUCAACAAGAAAAUAUCACAAUCCUAAAUAUAUAUGCACCUAACACUGGAGGUCCCAAAUUUAUAAAACAAUUAUUACUAGACCUAAGAAAUGAGAUAGAUGGCAACACAAUAAUAGUCAGGGACAGCCGGGUGCAAUGGCUCACAACUGUAAUCCCAGCACUUUGGGAGGCCAAAGCAGGUGGAUCACCUGAGGUCAGGAGUUUGAGACCAGCCUGACCAACAUGGCAAAACCCUGUCUCUACUAAAAAUACAAAAAGUAGCUGGGUGUGGUAGCACAUGCCUGUAUUCCCAGCUACUCAGGAGGCUGAGGUAGGAGAAUCGCUUGAACCCAGGAGGCAGAGGUUGCAGUGAGCUGAGAUUGUGCCACUGCCCUCCAACAUGGGAGACAGAGCGAGACUCCAUUUCAAAAAAAUAAAAGAAUAGUAGUUGGGGACUUCAAUACUCCAGUGACAGCACUAGACAAGUCAUCAAGCCAAAAAGUAAACAAAGAAACAAUGGAGCUGGACAUGGUGGCUCACACCUGUAAUCUCAGCACUUUGGGAAGCCAAAGUGGGCAGAUCACCUGAGGUCAGGAGUUUGAGACCAGCCUAGCCAACGUGGUGAAACCCCGUCCCUACUAAAAAUACAAAAAUUUGCUGGGUGUGGUGGCACAUACCUGUAAUCCCAGCUAAUCAGGAGGCUGAGGCAGGAAAAUCGCUUGGACCCCAGAGGUGGAGGUUGCAGUGAGCCAAGAUCAUGCCACUGCACUCCAGCCUGGGUGACAGAGUGAGACUCUGUGUCACAAAAGGAAGGAGGGAAGGAAGGAAGGAAGGAAGGAAGGAAGGAAGGAAAAGAAUUUAAACUAUACCAUAGAACAAAUGGUCUCAACAGAUAUUUACAGAACUUCUACCUAACAACUACAGAGUAUACAUUCUUUUUAGCAACACAUGGAACAUUCUCCAAGAUAAAACAUGGUGGGCCACAAAACAUGUCUCAGUAAAUUUAAGAAAACUGAAGUAAUAUCAAGUACUCUUUCAGACCAUACUGGAAAAAAACUGGAAAUUAACUCCAAAAAGAACCCUCAAAACUAUACAAAUACAGGGAAACUUAAUAAACUGCUCAUGAAUGAUCUUUGGGUCAGCAAUGAAAUCAAGAUGGAAAUUAAAGAAUUAUUUGAACUGAAUGAUAAUAGUGACAGAACUUAUCAAAACAUCUGGCAUAUAGCAAAAGUGGUUCUAAGAGGAAAGUUCAUAGCAUUAAAUGCCUAUAUCAAAAAGUCUGAAAAAGCACAAAUAGCCAAUCUAAGGUCACACGUCAAGUAACUAGAGAAAUAAGAGCAAACCAAACCCAAACCCAGCAGAGGGAAAAAAAAUUACAAGGAUCAGAGCAGAACUAAAUGAAAUUGCAAUACAAAAAUGUAUAAAAUAUAAAUGAAACAAAAAGCUAGUUCUUUCAAAAAAAAUGAUAGACUGUUAGUGAGAUAAACCAAAAAAAGAAGGGAGAAGAUCCAAAUAACUUCACUUAGAAAUGAAACGGGAGAUAUUACUACUGAUAGCACAGAAAUAAAAAAUGAUUUAAGACUACUGUGAACACCUUUACACACACAAACUAGAAAACCUAGAGGAGAUGGAUAAAUUUCUGGAUAUAUACAAGCCUCCUAGAUUAAAUCAGGAAGAAAUAGCAACUCUGAAUAGACCAAUAACAAGUAGUGAGAUUGAAACAGUAAUGAAAAAAAAAAUGCCAACAGCAAAAAAAAGGUCCAGGACUAGAUGGAUUCACAGAUGAAUUCUAUCAGGCAUUUGAAGAAGAAUUGGUACUGAUCGUAAUGAAAUUAUUCCAAAAGAUAAACUGGAAAUCCUCCUUAAAUAAUUCUAUGAAAGCCGGGUGCAAUGGCUCAUACCUAUAAUCCCAGCACUUUGGGAGGCUGAAGCAGGCAGAUCACUUGAGGUCAGGAGUUCAAGACCAGCCUGGCCAACGUGGUGAAACCCCAUCUCUACUAAAAAUUCAAAAAUUAGCUGGGCGUAGUGGCAGGCACCUGUAAUCCCAGCUACUCAUGAGGCUGAAGCAGGAGAAUUGCUUGAACCUGGGAGGCAGAGAUUGCAGUAAGCCAAGAUUGCACCACUGCACUCCAGCUUGGGCAACACGAGCAAAACUUCGUCAAAAAAAAAAAAAAAAAAAACUCUAUGAAGCCAGUAUCACUCUAAUACCCAAACCAGGAAAAGACAUAACAACAACAACAAAAAUGCAGACCAAUAUCCCUGAUGAACAUAGAUGGGAAAAUCCUCAACAAAAUACUGGCUAACCAAAACCAACAGCAUAUCGAAAAGAUAGCACAUCAUGAUAAAGUGGGUUUUAUACUAGGGAUGCAGGGAUGGUUUAACAUAUGCAAGUCAAUAAAUGUGAUACAUCACAUAAACAGAAUUAAAAGCAAAAAUCAUAUGAUCAUCUCAAUAGAUGCUGAAAAAGCAUUUGACAAAAUCCAGCAUCCCUUUAUGAUUAAAACCCUAAGCAAAAUCAGCAUAGAAGGGACAUACCUCAAGGUAAUAACCAUCUAUGACAAACCCUCAGGCAACAUUAUACUGAACAGGGAAAGGUUGAAAGCAUUCCCCCUGAGAACUGGAACAAGACAAGGAUGCCCAUUUUUAUCACUGCUAUUCAAUAUAGUACUGGAAAUCCUAGCCAGAGCAAUCAGACAAGAGAAAGAAAUAAAGGGCAUCCAAAUUGGUAAAGAGGAAGUCAAACCAUUGCUGUUUGCCGAUGAUAUGAUUGUAUAUCUAGAAAACCCUAAAGAUUCAUCCAAAAAGCUCCUAAACCUGAUAAAUGAAUUCAGUAAAGUUUCAGGAUAUAAAAUCAAUGUACACAAAUAAGUAGCACUGCUAUACACCAGCAGUGACCAACCUGAGAAUCAAAUCAAGAACUCAACCCUUUUAACAACAGCUGUAAAAAAUAAUAUAAAAUACGUAGAAAUAUACCUAACCAAGAAUGUGAAAGAUCUCUACAAGGAAAACUACAAAAUACUGCUGAAAUAAGUCAUAGAUGACACAAACAAAUGGGAACACAUCUCAUGCUCAUGGAUGGGUAGAAUCAAUAUUGUGAAAAUGACCAUACAGUCAAAAGCAAUCUACAAAUUCAGUGCAAUUCCUGUCAAAAUACCAUCAUUAUUUUUCACAGAACUAUAAAAAUAAAAUCCUAAAAUUAAUAUGGAACCAAAAAAGAGCCCACAUAGCCAAAGCGAGACUAAGUGAGAAGAACAAAUCUGGAGGCAUCACAUUACCUGACUUCAAACUAUACUACAAGGCUAUAGUUACCAAAACAGCAUGGUACUGGUAUAAAAAUAGGCGUGUACAUCAAUGCAACAGAAUAGAGUACCCAGAAAUAAAGCCAAAUAUUUAAAGCCAACUGAUCUUCGACAAAGCAAACAAAAACAUAAAGUGGAGAAGGACACCCUGUUCAACAAAGGCUGCACCCUAACCACAAAUGGUCAAAUGGUGCUGGGAUUGUUGGCAAGUCACAUGUAGAAGAAUGAAACUUAAUCCUCAUGUCUCACCCUAUACAAAAAUCAACUCAAAAUGGAUCAAAGACUUGAAUCUAAGACCUGAAACCAUAAAAAUUCUAGAAUAUAAUAUUGGAAAAACUCUUCUAGACAUUGGCUAAGGUAGAGUUAAUGACUAAGAACCCAAAAGCAAAUACAACAAAAACAAAAAUAAAUAGAUGAGACCGAAUUAAACUAAAAAGCUUCCGCAGAGAGAAAAAAAAAUCAGCAGACUUGGCUGGGCAUGGUGGCUCACGCCUAUAAUCUCAGCACUUUGGGAGGCCAAGGUGGGUGGAUCACCUAAGGUUAGGAGUUCGAGACCAGCCUGGCCAACAUGGCGAAACCCCAUCUCUACUAAAAAUACAAAAAUUAUCUGAGCAUGGUGGUGCAUGCCUGUAAUCCCAGCUACUUGAGACGCUGAGGCAGGAGAAUCACUUGAACCUGGGAGACAGAGGUUGCAGUUAGCCGAGAUCGCAUCACUGCACUCCAGCCUGGGCGACAGAGCGAGACCCUGUCUCAAAAAUAAAAUAAAAUAAAAUAAAAUAAGGCCAGGCAUGGUGGCUCAUGCCUGUAAUCCCAGCACUUUGGGAGGCCAAGGUGGGUGGAUCACAAGGUCAGGAGAUUGAGACCAUCCUGGCUAACAUGGUGAAACCCCAUCUCUACUAAAAAAUACAAAAAAUUAGCCGGGUGUGGUGGCAGGCGCCUGUAGUCCCAGCUACUCGGGAGGCUGAGGCAGGAGAAUGGCAUGAACCCUGGAGGCAGAGCUUGCAGUGAGCUGAGAUCACGCCACUGCACUCCAGCCUGAGCGAGAGUGCAAGACUCUGUCUCAAAAAAAAUAAACAUAAAAAUAAAAUAAAAUAAAAAUAAUCAGCAGAGUAAACAGAGAACCCCCAGAGUGGGAGAAAAUUUUCACAGACUAUUCAUCCAACAAAGGACUAAUACCCAGAAUCUACCAGGAACUCAAACAAAUCAGCAAAAAAAAAAAAUCCCAUCAAAAAGUGGGCUAAGGACAUGAAUACACAAUUCUCAAAAGAAGAUAUACAAAUGUCCAACAAACAUGAAAAAAAUGCUCAACAUCACUAAUUAUCAGGGAAAUGCAAAUCAAAACCACAAUGCAAUACCACCUUACUCCUGCAAGAAUGGCCAUAAUUUAAAUAUCAAAAUAUAAUAGAUGUUGAUGUGGAUGUGGUGAAAAAGGAACACUUUCACACUGCUGGUGGGAAUGUAGUACAAACACUAUGGAAAACAGUAUGGAGAAUCCUUUGAGAACUAAAAGUAGAAUUACCAUUUGAUGCAGCAGUCCCACUAAUGGGUAUCUACCCAAAGGAAAAGAAGUCAUUGUAUGAAACAGACUUACACACAUAUGUGCAUAGCAAUACAAUUUGCAAUUGCAAAAAUAAGGAACCAGCCUAACCCUGAUUUCCAGUGGAAAUCCUAGGAAGUUAUGAUGUUAGUUCUGGGCUUGUAAAAGAAAAACAACAGCAAACAAACAAACAAAAAAGAAAAACCUUGGAAGCAAGUAAUUUGAGAUGGUUUAUGUCAGUUUUUGUGAUGAAAACUAUUUUCUAAUGUUUAGAAAGAUGUUUCCACAAUUUUUUGUUUCUUAACAGAACUAAAUAUUUAGCUUUUCUGUAUCAUAUAGAUGACUCAGACAUUUUAUGAUUAGCUAUUACCCAGGUUGACAUAACAUGACUCUAAGUUAUUGAAAAAGAUUUUUUAAACAAUGUAAAGCUCAUUUAUAAACUUUUAUUUAUUCUCUUUUGCAAGUAAACCUUAUGGUAAAUAAUAAAAAACAUAAAAAAGUAAAUAAAGUUUUAUUUAUUCUUAGGAAGUAUGCUUGAGUAGCUCAUUAAACAAAGUUAGCUACUGAAACUGUCUUUGCAGGGCUGAGCAGUGGCUCACGCCUGUAAUCCCAGCUCUUUAGGAGGCCCAGGCAGGUGCAUUACCUGAGGUCAGGAGUUAGAGACCAGCCUGGCCAACAUGGUAAAACUCUUUCUCUACUAAAAAUAUAAAAAAUUAGCCAGGUGUGGUGGUGGGUGCCUGUAAUCCCAGCUACUUGGGAGGCUGAGGCAGGAGAACCACUUGAACCCAGGAGGUGGAGGUUGCAGUGAGCUGAGAUCACAUCAUUGCACUCCAGCCUGGGCAACAAGAGCAAGACUCCAUCUCAAAAAAAAAAAAAAAAGAAAAGAAAAGAAAAAAAGAAACUGCCUUCGCAAAAUUAUAACUGAGACAGUGAAAGAAAUCUAACUUAACUGACCAUCUUGCCUCUAGCAUAUAAGCUGUCUUUGUUCAUUCCAUCUUGCCUAGGGACUAGAUUGUCUUUGUAGGACUAACAUUUGACACAAGAUUAGAAAUUAUGAUUUAGGAGUCAUGCAGCUGGAGGCUAAAAGAUUAUGACCCUCCCUAAAUUUCUCUCAAGAUCAGUGCUUGAGAUAUUUUGCAGACCCUGCACUUGAUGGAUCAGCUGGCUCCACCCAGAUUGAUAAACUGGCUCAUCUGAUCUUGUAGCCCCUGCCCAUGAACUGACUCACUGCAAGAAGACAGCUUCAACUCCCUAUGAUUUCAUCUCUGACCUGACCAAUCAGCACUCCUGGCUCACUGGGUUCUCCCCACCCACUAGGUUGUCCUUAAAAAUUCUGCUCCCAAAAUGCUCGGGGAGACUGAUUUGAGUAAUAAAACUCUGGUUUCUGCACAGCUGGCUCUGUGUGAAUUACUCCUUCUCUAUUGCAAUUCCCCUGUCUUGAGAAAUCAGCUCUGUCUAGGCAGUGGGCAAGGUGAACCCAUUGGGUGCUUACACCAUCAUCUUCAGUUUUUUCUUUGUAAUCAUGUUUACAUUCCACAAAUGUUAGGAACUUAACACUUUAGCCAGAACUCUAAAGUUAAAUACACGGGUAUUUUGUUAAUCAGAGGACACGGUUGUUUUCAGUAAAUCAACAGUAUUAAACUAGUCUUAUUUACCAACAAUUUACACAAAUCAUUUGAACUAAAAGGCAUUUGAGUUAGCUUAUAUUUUUCUCAUAAAAUAUAUAAUUUAAGUGCUUACUUUUUCUUUAACCCAAUUAAUUAGAGUUUUCGUGUAUUUUGGUAAUGAAAUAUCACAUCCACAUGGCAUAUAUGAACAUAUAUACAUACAGACAUACAAACAAAAGCAGAGUCUGUAGCUUGAUAAACUUCUUCAUUUGUCAGGGGGUUUUUUUGUUUUGGUUUUGGUUUUGGUUUUCUUUUUCUUUUUUUUUUUUUUUGAGAUGGAGUCUUGCUCUGUUGCCCAGGCUAGAGUGCAGUGGUGUGAUCUAAGCUCACUGCAACACCCACUUCCUGGGUUCAAGCGAUUCUCCUGCCUCAGCCUCCCGAGUAGCUGGGAUUACAGGCGCCUGCCACUGUGCCUGGCUAAUUUUUGUAUUUUUAGUAGAGAUGGGGUUUUGCCAUGUUGGCCAGGGUGGUCUCAAACUCCUAACCUCAUGAUCCGCCCACCUUGGCCUCCCAAAGUGCUGGGAUUACAGGCGUGAGCCACCGCACCCAGAAACCAUUUGCCAGUUUUUAAAUAGUUUCUCUCCCCUCUUUAGACUAUGGAGCCCUAAACAACUGUUAGCAACAUAACCCUUAAUUUGCACUUCCAAAGACAUGACUCUUAAGUGAAAAUUUACAUCCCAAAGGCACAGCACUUAGAUCUAAGCACCAUUCUCUGCUGAGAUGAAGAAGGAUAUGGGUAAAGAUUCAGUCGAAGUGAGAUUGCCAGGAAAAGUAUCUUAAACAAAGGCAGGGAUUGUUAUGUAAACUUUAAACCAAUGUCUUCCCCAUCUUAAGAGUUUUGUGGGUUUUUUGUUUGUUUUUUUUUAGACAAGGUGUCAUUCUGUUACCUGGACUGGGGUGCAAUGGUGCAAUUUUGGCUCGCUGCAGUCUCCACUUCCCUAAGGCCACAAGAUUUGAAGUUAGGAUAAUACAUGUUACACUGUUAACUUUUAGCAAACUUUACUUUUGUUGAAAACCAUGUAAGUUUGGGAUUUUUAAUUAUCCUUUGCUAUUACUAAGACCUCUUUAGUCCAAAUCAACUUGGAAUUAGUAUAGAUGGUUCCUUCCUGGUUCUGUAAGUACUUUAAGGCUUGGCUGAGUGCAGAGCUCACACGUUUGAGCAGACUGAUUAUUAGGCAAUUUUCCUAACUCUAUUUCUACGAGAGUUUCCCUAUCAAUUACUGAAUACUCGUUGUGUCUUUUUCCCUCAAUCAGCCAGGAGAAACCAUCCAUCAUCCUGUCCUGAAGGGAGUUCCUCCUAGGUCUGGUCGGACCUUUGUAUGGUAGUUAAUUAAGAUUUAGAUCCCCUGUUAGGAAACCUGCAGGGUUAAGGGAAUUAUCAGUGGUUAAUGUUAAAUCAUAUUUUUCUAACAGAAUGGCCUCAUAUGUUAAUAUUCUUAAGUCAGUAAGCUGCCUUUUUGCUUUUUUGACUUAGGAUAGUUCUGACCUGGUGAGGUGUGCUCACAAUGAGGUUUCCUCUAAAAGUUAUUUUUGUACUUUCUUCAGUUAGCAAAGCAGUUGCUGCUACAGAUUGAAUGCAUUUGGGCCAUCCCCGGGUUACUGGGUUAAGGAUUUUUGAUAGGAAGGCUACUGGUUGUCAGUGGCCUCCGUGCUUUUGGGAUAUGCCCUUGUUUACACUGACAACAAGAUGGAAUAGCUACUUGAGGGUAAAUCUAGGACAGGGGCAGUUACUAAUAGAUGUUUUAACCUUUCCACCUGUUGGAUUUCUGGUAAUUGCCAAAUGAGGAGGGGGUUUUGCCCAUCUUGCGUGAGCUUUUUGUAUAAGGGUUUUGUUUUUAGGGCAUAAGAGGCUAUCCAUAGAUGACAGUAUCUGACUUAUCUUAAAGUUUUCUAAGUUCUUGUUUGGUCUCCGGCAGAGGCAAGGAUAUGAUACUUUCAGUCCAUUCAAGCUCAAUUUGCCAUUUACCUUUGCUAAUUAAAUGACUUGUUCUAAUAUUUGACUAAAUAAAUUUGAAGACUUCGUAAACCCUUGAGGUAAGACUGUCUAUCUGUAUUGCUAUUUUCAAUCAGAGUGAGGGUCUUCUCACUCAAAGGCAAAUAGGUCCUGGCUGUCUUCCGUGAACGGACAAACCCAGAAGGCAUCUUUUAAAUCUAUUACCAUAACAACAGGGUGGGUAGUUUGGACUUGAUUAAUAGCUCUAAGGUCUUGCACUAACUGGUGUGACCCGUCUGGCUUCUUUACAGGCAGUAUUGGAGUUUUAUAGGGUCACGGAGAAGACUUUCAAUUAUAGGUUUUACAUUUACCCUGGCUUUUAAAGGAAUAGGGUACAUUGCUUUCUCUUUACUACUUCUAGCUCUCUCUCUCUCUCUCUCUCUCUCUCUGACUCUCUGUCUCUUUCUCUCUCUGACUCUCUUAAGUUUUUUUUUUUUUAUCCUUCUAAUAUUUUAACAUUAGUCCUGGGGGAUUAUUGGGGGAAUAUUAUUGUUGCUAGCUUUAUUUCUUUUAUCCUGUACCUUACUUGGGGUAUUUCCCAUUUUUGGGGUGAGGCUCAAUUUCCCUUACCAGAAAUAUCUCACCUUUUGGAGGGAGGCUCAAUUUCCCUUACUGGCAAUGUCUCACCUUUUGGGGUGAGGCUCAAUUUCCCUCACUGGAAAUGUCUUGCCUUUUAGGGUGAGGCUCAAUUUCCCCUACUGGAAAUGUCUCACCUUUUGGGGUGAGGCUCAAUUUCCCUCACUGGAAAUGUCUCACCUUUUGGGGCGAGGCUCGAUUUCCCUUACCGGAAAUAUCUUGCCUCUUUUUAAUCCCCAAGAUACCCCGACCAAGGAAUACUUCACUGCCCCCUGUGGUUUUUCUUUCCUUAGUCCCGGCUAAGGAAUGCUUUACCACCCCUACGGCUUCUUUUUCCUUGGUAUGUCCCAACCAAGGAAUGUUUCACUGCCCCUGCAGUUUUUCUUUCCUUAGUCCCUACCACCAAAGGAAUACUUUACCAGCUCCUCCGCUGUUUCCUUCUUUGGCUUGUGCGUGAUGUUGUCUGGUCCACGUGGUAUGUAAGGAUCCUUUACCCCAGGUCACCGGCCAGUUUCUUUCCACAUUGCUGAGAGUCUGGGUUUAUUCAUCACACCAGGUAGGUCUCGGUUCCUCACCCCUGAGGCUGCCGAAAUGAGGCGGCGGGGCACCUCCUUACAAGAGAGGACUGGAGACCGCCCAGAGGAGAGUGGGUCCCUGCAUGGGCCACCAAACUGUUAGAAAUGCAAAAUGCUUGUUCCCUGGUGCUGCAAAGAAAUAGCACUCAAACAUACAUUUAAUUUUCUCAGCAAGGCAAUUUUUACUUUCUGCAGAAAGGGUGCUCCUCACAGAUGGAACAAUGGUGAGAUCAUACCAGGACAGGGGAGGGGCAGGAGUUCUUAUUCCUGACGCUAGUAGCCCCUACUGCUGUGUUGUUGCCCUAAUGGCUAGGAUUGGACCGCACAGUCUAAGCUAAUUCUGAUUGGCUAUGUUAAAAAGAGCAGGAGUAUGAGCUGGAGUGGUGAGGUGAGUAGUUUGGUGGGAAGGGCAGUUAGGAACAGGUAACUAAAGGUGACUUAGGUCAGAGCAGGUGACCACCAAGGGAACAGCUGUGAACUACUGAUUUGGACUGGCGGGAAAGUUGUUUACUGAAACUAGAGGCAAGGAGUUGAAGAGAACUAGGAAGUUAAACUUUAAAAUGAAGAAUCAAAGAAUAAGAGAGCUGGACAUACUGACAUACUGAUUCUUUGAAGAGAAACUUAGGGUUCACUAUAUUUAACAGGAGGCCGAGACAGGAGGAUCGCGUGAGCCCAGGAGUUUGAGACCAGCAUGGGCAAAAUAGUAAAACCCCAUCUUAUUAAAAAAAAUUUUUUUUUUUGAAAUGGGGUCUCUCUCUGUUGCCUGGGCUGGAGUGCAUUGGUGCUAUCUCCACUCCCUCAACCUCUCAGCCAAUCCUCCCACCUCAGCUUCAUGAGUAGCUGGGACUACAGGCGUGCACCACCCUGCCCAGCUAAUUUUCGUAUUUUUUUGUAGAGACAGGUUUUCAUCAUGUUGCCCAGCCUGGUCUCGAACUCCUGAGCUCAGGCAAUCCUCUCACCUCGGCCUCCCAAAGUGCUGGGAUUACAGGCAUGAGCCACCACACCCGACCUUAAAAAAAAUUUUUUUUAAUAUGUGGAAAGCAGACACGAGUAGAAGCCAGCACAACUAGCUAACUUCCCCUAGUGAUAGAGGCAGGAGACAGGCAAAUGCCAUCUAUGUCAUUAUAUAUAGGGAGCUUGCCUAAACAUGCCCACAGUGGAAAAUUCCAUCCCUUAACACAUGCACAGUAAGAGAAAUAAAUCAAUGCAGAGUGGCCAUUUCCUUUAUUGCCUUCUGAACAUUUACCUUUCUAGUGUCCUUUCUUUUUGCAUCUCGCACAUUAAUCUCUAGCCUCAUCCGGCUCUUGAAUCCUUGCCUAACUUGACUUCUUUCACAUCUACAUCCACAUCCAUGUCCUCUCACGGUGCUAAUUUUUCUUUUUAUGAGAGCUGUUGCUAACAGAUUGGCUUUUUUUUCUUAAGUCUUUAAUUUACUUUUUUUUUUUUUUUUUUUUUUUUCUGAGUUCUCCUGCUCCUACGGCCAGCUGGCGGGGCUGGGCAACGGCACGGGCCUUGCCCCCGCGCACUGCUGUCUGUCUCUCCUGUUUUCUUCUGAUUCUCUUUUUCACACUUACUCUUAGUGUUUCUUUUUCCUUUGCUCUUUCCCAGUUUUGUUCCUUGGUCACAGUUAACAUACACCUUGGUGGCCACUUUUAUAGACUAGGUGGUAUUCAUGCCUGCAGCUUCUGCUUGAUGUUACCCUGGGCUUGCUUUACAAAUAAAAUAUUCAGUGCAUACUGAUUUUCAGCAGCCUCAGGGUUAAGUGGGGUAUAAAGCCAGAAUGCUUUAUAGAGUCUCUUAUAAAACUGACUUAGGCUCUUGUCAGCUCCUUGAAGGAUUUCUGAAAUCUUUUUUAUAUUACUUGCUUUUUUCUACCAACUUUUAGACUCUGCAGAAGUGCUUCUCAGUACCUCUGCAAAUGCUGAAGCUGAAUUGCAUUCUCUGGGUCUUUUUUUCCCUUUUUUCUAGAGUUUAACAGGCUCUUUUCUUUAUACAAUUUUUUAUGCACUUGGAGGGUUAAACAGGCAUACCCAGAGUCAGUGUAAAUGUUUACAAGUCUUACCUUCACUGAGUUCUAAGGCCCGAAUUAAAGCAAUGAGCUCAGCUUAACAACAGUGUCCAGGGUUACCACCGCAUAUUCUGCACCUCUCUCUCCUUGGGGGUUGAUGAAGCUGUUCCCGUCCACGUAUAGCUCCCAGUCUAUUGAUGCCCAAGGCUGGUCCUGGAGGUUAGGUCUGCUAGAGUAAAUUUGAGUCCAACACCUCUACACAGUUAUGCUCGACAGGGCUUUAGCUGCCGGGAGCAAGGUGGUGGGUUCAGGGUGUUUCCAGUUUAGUAGAUCAAUGGUUGAAAAGGGCUGAUAGAUGAAAGUCUGUUGUCCCCCCCAACCCCCCGGAUGUGGGCCUGGUCAUUAUAAUAGACAGGUCCUCGUGUCUCCCUGAGAGGCAUUUGCAUAGCCUCUCAGAUCUGAGAUGGCCCACUUGACUAUCUUGAUUUCCUUCCUUGGUCUCUCGAAGCUCCGAUCCUCCCCUUCAAGGUAAAACCUGGAGCGUGUUAGCUCCUGAAUCUCAUUUCUGAGGGGGUUGUUGGCCUCAGUAAAGCGGGGUAGGCUGGGAUAUAUGGAGAAAGAAUUUCUGUUAUCUCUGGCGGCUCCCGCAAAACUGGCUUCUCUUGCUGUUUCUGGGACUCCCUUUUUAACUCUGUCUGCCGGCGAAGCUGCUCUUUUACUUUUGGCUUUUUUGCAAUAAGCUGUUCAACAGGGCUAAAUUUAUGCUGGUUUUGCCUAUAUUAUAUUUAACCAUGAGUCAAUAUAAAGGAAUUUGAUCUAGGUACACUGGCUGCCCUCUGACCCCUGUCACCACCUUAAAUACAUGGCCAAUAGUUCCCUGUCUAUAGUUCCUUCGGUGGGCCAUCUAACACCAAAAGAGGGCAAUUCUAAUUCACACAGAGUUCUUAACCUCUAGGGGGUUAACUUAACUCUAUAAUCUCCCACAGAACCUUUCCUAAGGUUCUGUAACAUGCAUUUUAAUAGAGUAAGUUUUGAUGCUUUGAUGACUUUCCUUUUAUUUUUCUUUUUGAAAUUUUUUAACAUAGUUCCUAGCGGAGUGGGCUUACUUUGUGUCUGACCUAUUUUUCUCUUGAAACAAAAAAAAUUCACACUACAAGAAGGAAAGGGUAAAAGGUCACUCACUCGUCUAAUUCACACUAAAUCAAAAUCAAAACUAAAACCAAAGUGUUGUUAAAGGCACACCUGUUCGUCAAGCAAUUUAUGCCAAGUCAAAAUCAGAACCAAAACCAAAGUACCAAUAAAGGCAUGCCUGUUUAUCAAGCAAUUCAAGUCAAGUCAAAAUCAAGGUUAAAACCAAAGUAUCAAGCAAUUCAAGUCAAGUCAAAAACAAAAACCAAAGUGCCAGUACAGACACGCUGUGGGUGAUCAGGCCACGCUUCCACUCAAACGGAGUGGGCAAGUUCCAAAGACCAGUCUUACCAAGUUUCAGAUGUCCGGACUCCAAGUGCCUGUUCCUUCCCGGUGUUCAGCCACUGCGUUGAUCCUCCACCGGGGCCUGCCACGCGCUGCUCUGGCAAGGCGUUCCACUGGGGCAAAUGCCUACCCGGGAGCACUCUCAGGAUCCGCAUUGCUCAAGCCGGAGUCCCCCACAGGGAUGCUCUACAGAGCAUGCAUAAGCUGCCUAAGGGGCUACCUCGACCGUCAGUUAAUCACCUCAUUUCCCGGUCAGGGAACCAAGAAAUGUAGCAGGACGAGCCACAGACGAAACUCCUCAGACACCGAAUUAAAGAAGGAAGAGGUUUUUAUUCGGCCGGGAGCAUCAGCAGACUCAUGUCUUAAGAGCCGAGCUCUCCGAAAAAGAAAUUCUUGGCCUUUUUAAAGGCUUACAACUUUAAGGGGUCCAUGUGAAAGGGUCGUGAUAAAUCGAGCAAGCGUGGGAAAUGUGACUGGAGGCUACAUGCAUCAGCUAACAGAACAAAAAGUUUUACAGCGCUUUUUUCAUACAGUGUCUGGAAUUUACAGAUAACACAGGUAGUUUAGGUCAGGGGUUGAUGUUACUAUUAUUACUUUUUUUAACUCCUAGGGCCAGGUGGUGGUGCCAAGGUUGUCUGGCUAUUUAUCUUACUUUUGUUUUUUUCCAACUUUUUGCUUUUUAUCUCCUCCUGUCUUGUGAACUAGGCAAGGUGGGGGGAGGAGGGCAGCAGGAGUAGUAGUGGUCUCCUUCCUUAAGACUAAGGGCCAGCAUGCACACUGGAAGAAUGGGGUGGAGCCACCAGGAAUUCAUGCCUAAUGCUGGAGAGGAGCCACGCCUUUUCAACUUGCAUGUGAUGGCCUUGUAUUCAAUUUGUGAGGUGGAUACCUGCAUAUAGGACCCUCCUUUUGCUUAAUAAAUUCCGCCCUCCUCACCUUUCUUUUCUUUUUUUUGAGACUGAGUCCUGCUCUGUUGCCCAUGCAGGAGUGCAAUGGCAUGCUCUUGGCUCACUGCAAAACUCUGCCUCCCAGGUUCAAGUGAUUCUCCUGCCUCAGCCUCCUGAGUAGCUGGGACUACAGGCAUGUACCACCAUGCCUGGCUAAUUUUUUGUAUUUUUAGUAGAGAUGGGGUUUCACUAAUUUGCCCAGGCUGGUCUUAAACUCCUGACCUCAAGUAUCUGCCCACCUCAGCCUCCCAAAAUGCUGAGAUUACAAGUGUGAGCCACCGCACCUGGCACCAUCCUCACCUUUCAAUGUUUCUGCGUGCCUAAUUUUUCUGGAUUUAGCUGAACCAAGGAACAAAAAAUUCUGCAUCAUUAGUUGUGCUGGCUUCCACUUGUGCCUGCCAGUAUCCCACAUUUACAUUUAAUCUUGGGUUCCCAAAGACAGGAACCCCAUGAGACCAGGCCACACAGUGCUUCCACAGCACACCUUUCUGUAAAGACAUUCCCCUGAGGCUAGUGGGCAACCCAAUGCAAAUCAGCCCACUCUGUGAUCAGCUCAUCUUCCAUCAGAGUCUUAACCAUUGGUAGUGAAUGUUCCCACAACCUCCAGGUGUUCAAACCUGCCUUUUAAUCUAAGUGCGUAAAGAACAAAUAGCCCAUUGCAAUAAUAAUCAUUCACUACAACCCUGUCAGCCACUUUCCAGGUUUUGCCAGUGACUCGUCAGCCACUGCACACGCAAAAGUCAAGUUCUCUCUCAUAGUAAAAAGUAAUUCCUGGUACCCCAAAAGCCAAAGAUCAGGUACUACUUUUAACAGCUCUUGGCCUGGCACAGUGGCUCAUGCCUGUAAUCCCAGCACAUUGAGAGGCCGAGGCGGGCAGAUCACCUAAGGUCAGGAGUUCAAGACCAGCCUGGCCAACAUGUUGAAACCGUGUCUCUACAAAAAUACAAAAAUUAGCCGGGCAUCAUGAUGGGUGCCUGUAAUCCCAGCUACUCGGGAGGCUGAGACAGGAGAAUUGUUUGAACCCAGGAGGUGGAGGUUGCAGUGAGCCGAGAUCGCACCACUGCACUCCAGACUGGGUGACUGAGACUCCAUCUCAAAAAAAAACAACAACAAAAAACAGCUCUUAGAAUUCUUCAUUAGUUACAAUUUUGUUUCCUCCGUGGCAAUAUGAAUUGCAAUUUGUGAAUUAAAAACAUUAGAAUUUGAAAAAAUUUUGGCUGGACAUGGUAGCUUAUGCCUGUAAUCCCUAGCACUUUGGGACGCCGAGCGAGGCAGGCAGAUCACCUGAGGUCUGGAGUUCAAGACCAGCCUGACCAACAUGGUGAAACCCCUUCUCUACUAAAAAAAUACAAAAAUUAGCCCAGUGUGGUGGCGCAUGCCUGUGGUCCCAGCUACUCAGGAGGCUGAGGCAGGAGAAUCGCUUGAACCCGGGAGGCAGAGGUUGCAGUGAGCCAAGAUCAUGCCACUGUACUCCAGCCUGGGUGACAGAGUGAGACUCAGUCUCAAAAAAUAAAUAAAUAAUAAUAAAUAAAAUAAAAUAAAAUUCAAAAUUAUCUGGACAUCUGAAUUUUAUCUGACAUGCCCUUUCAUCAUAUUGCUAUAUCCUUUGUCUUUCCUCAAUUAUAUUUUAUCAAGAAGGCCUUUUCCAACCAUUUUAUUUAGUAUGGCUCCCCCACCUCCACUUCUCUCAUAAAUUGUUCUGGCCCUAGCACCAGCAUACAGCAUAGUUUCCUGUUUAUUUGCUUAGUGUCUGUCUCCUUCAGUAUAGAAUGUAAUCUUGUGGCGGUCAUGGUGGCUAACACCUGUAAUCCCAGUACUUUGGGAGGCUGAGGCACGUGGAUCAUUUGAGGUCAGGAAUUCAAUACCAGCCUGACCAAUGUGGUGAAACCCUAUCUCCACUAAAAAUACAAAAAAAUUAGUCUGGCAUGGUGGCACAAGCCUGUAGUCACAGCUACUCAGGAGACUGAUGCAGGAGAAUUGCUAGAACCCGGGAGACAGAGGUUGCAGUGAGCUGAGAUCGCACCACUGCACUCCAGCCUGGGCGACAGAGUGAGACUCCAUCUCAAAAAAAAUAAAGUAAUCUUGUGAGGGCAGGAUUUUGAUGCUAUGUUCACCACUGACUCCAAAAUGGCACAUAGCGGGCUCUCAGUAGAUAUCUAUUGAACAAAUGGAAGCAUAAAUAAACAAGCAAUGCUACACUUGCUUUCUCCAGCACCAUGGGAGCAGAUCCAGGGAGCAGACAGGGAAAGAAGGCUACAGCCCCUGCCCCCUGGUGGAGCUGGAAGAAUCAAUAAUUUUCAUUUAUUUAUUCAUCUAAUGUGCUUUGCACGCUCCCUAUCUGCCAGGAUCAGCUUGUUGCCAGGGAUACCGGGUAAACAAUCCCAUAAGGUUCCUGUGGUCUGGAGGAAGAAACAGACAUUAACGCACAAUAGGGAGAUGGUUACUUAAUUAUAGUGGUGAACUGUCAAUGAAGGAAAAGCAAAAAAAAAAAAAAGGUCUAACCUGGUAUAGGGGUCAGGGGAGACUUCCUCAAGGAAGGGAUAUGGAGUUGAGGCCUGAGGCUGAGCAUGAAUUAACUGGAGGCAGAGCUCUGUGGGUGGAGAUGUCAUUCCAAGCAGGAAGCCCGGUUAAUGCAGGUACCUUGAUAGAAGGAAGGCCAGGGUGAGGAAAAAGGCCGGGUUACAGGCAGUUACUAGGAACCUUGUGGCCUGACUUGUUGCUGAGGAGGAAGCAAUAGCCAGCUCAGAGGGCCUUGUAGUUCAGGUGAUGCCCCAUUUCUGUGUUAGUCUAUUUUUGCGUUGCUAUAAAGAAAUACCUGAGGCUGGGUAAUUUAUACAGAAAAGAGGUUUAAUUUGGCUCACAGUUUAGUAGGCGCCAGGAAGCAUGGCGCUGGCAUCUGCUCCUGGUGAAGGCUCAGGGAGCUUUCAAUCAUGGCGGAAGGUGAAGGAGGAGCAGGUGUGUCACAUGGUAAGAGUGGGACAGAGAGACAGAGACAGGGAGAGAGAGAGUGCAAGAGAGAGCAAAGGAGGGAGGAGGAGCCAGCCUUCCUUAAACAGCCAGCUCUCAUGUGAACUAACAGAGUAAGUACUCACUCAUCACCACGGGGAGGACACCAAGCCAUUCAUGAGGGAUCCGCCCCCAAGACCCAGACACCUCCCACCAGGCCCCACCUCCAACACUGGGAAUCGCAUUUCUUUUUCUUUGUUUUUUAAUUUUGUACUUUAAGUUCUGGGAUACAUGUGCAGAACAUGCAGGUUUGUUACAUAGGUAUACAUGUGCCAUGGUGGUCUGCUGCACCUAUCAACCUGUCAUCUAGGUUUUAAGCCCCACAUGCAUUAGGUAUUUGCCCUAAAGCUCUCCCUCCCCUUACUCCUCCCCCAUAGACCCUGGUGCGUGACAUUCCUGUCCCUGUGUCCAUGUGUUCUCAUUGUUCAACUCCCACUUAUGAGUGAGAACAUGUGGUGUUUGGUUUUCUGUUCCUGUGUUAGUUUGCUGAGGAUAAUGGCUUCCAGUUUCAUCCAUAUCCCUGCAAAGGACAUGAACUCAUUCUUUUUUAUGGCUGCAUAGUAUUCCAUGUUGUAUAUUUGCCACAUUUUCUUUAUUCAGUCUAUUAUUGAUGGACAUUUGAGUUGGUUCCAAGUCUUUGCUAUUGUAAAUACUGCUGCAAUAAACAUACAUGUGCAUUUGUCUUUUUUUUUGAGUCAGAGUCUCGCUCUGUCGCCCAGGCUGGAGUGCAGUGGCAAGAUCUCAGCUCACUGCAAACUCCGCCUCCCAGGUUCAAGCAAUUCUCCUGCCUCAGCCUCCCGAGUAGCUGGGAUUACAAGCGCACGCCACCAUACUCGGCUAAUUUUUUGUAUUUUUAGUAGAGAAGGGGUUUUGCCAUGUUGUCCAGGCUGGUCUCAAACUCCCAGCCUCAUGAUCUGCCUGCCUCAGCCUCCCAAAGUGCUGGGAUUACAGGUGUGAGCCACAAUGCCUAGCCAUGUGUCUUUAUAGUAGAAUGAUUUAUAUUCCUUUGAGUAUAUGCCCCAUGGGAGGGAAUCACAUUUCAACAUGAGAUUUGGAGGGGACACACAUCUGAACCACAUCACACAGCAUAUUCCCAACUCCAGCUCCCUCCUCUCCACAAGAAUGUAGGAUACCCAUCACUCCCAGGAUCAGCUUCCUUGAGCCCAAUCCUCUGUAACUCACUGAGAUGCUAUGAAGUGCCUGGUAGGUGCCACACUGUGCCACAGUCAUGCUCCAAGACAGUGUGGAGUGAGGGCCAGAGGGCCAGGAGGCAGGAUUGGUUUGGAGACAUUGCCUUUCUUCAAACCUCAGUUUCCUCUUAAAUCAAAUAAAUGAUUGCAGAAGAUAAGCUCAUAUUAAUUCCAUUUCUAGGAAAAAUCUGUGUUCCAAACAGUAGCACUGACUAAUGGAAAGUACAACUGGCUGUUUCCCUUGAACAGUGGGUUUAUUGUUGUUUUUCCAAUUAUAAAAGUAAUAAGAUUAUUUGUAAACUAUAGAACAGUAGAAAAAGUUUCUUGAAUGAGAUUUGGUUUUCAAUCAGGGCAAAUAAAGACUUUUCUGGGAUUAAGAGGGCUGUUUCUUCUCCAUUACUUUAUACGGACCCGUACUGGGGACUUGUCAGCUGUUCAAGUACAACGCACCCAGUUUUGGUUCUGUACCAGGAUUAGGCCUACAAUAUUUCAGAAUUCAUAUACAAACCCCAAUAAAGUGUUAAAGGAGAUGACUGCCCUAUAACCUAUGUUUUGCUGAAUGUUUACUAUGAGGUUUUUUUUUUACCAUCCUCAUGAGUAUGGUAUUGUAACUGAAACUCUCCAGGAAAAUUCCUCUGCUUAAAACUAAAAAUCAAGUGUAUCUCAGGAAACUCUACUGUCCCAUCUGAAAUGCCUCUGUUGUGUGUUGUCUGCAAAGGUGGAGUCUCCCUGUUUUGUUCAGGCUGGUCUCGAACUCCUGGGUUCAAGGAAAUCUCUCUCCUCACCCUCCUGUGUAGCGGGGACUGUAGGCACCUGGCUGUGGUGGAUACUAUUAAGCCAAAUUCCAGUCAGCAUCCUCUUUUCAAUGAAGUUGAAAGGAGAGAUGAUGAAACUGGCAGUGUUACUGAAUGGGAAAUAAAGGUGGGAAUACACAUUGUGAGUGAAGACACGGAAGUAACUUCUGCAAUACAACCUUGUAAGAGUCUUAAUGCUACACUCCUUUGUUUAUCAAAUGAUGUACCUUUAUCGUAAGGGAAGAACCUGGGCCAUUCCCUCUGGUGUUGAGAGGCAAUUUGGAAACUCUGCCAUUUCUUAGGACUGAGUAUUUAAUAUACUAUUUUGUGGAAAUCUGAGAGGCAGAAAUGGGAUUUAAUGAUCUCAACUGUCAUCCAUCUAAAAAACCUAAUUUGCAAUUUUAAAUAAAAUGGCAUGUUGCCUUCUACUAUUCUCUUUUUGUUUUUUGAGACGGAGUCUUGCUCUGUCACCCAGGCUGGAGUGCAGUGGCACAAUCUCAGCUCACUGCAACCACUGCCUCCUGGGUUCAAGCGAUUCUCCUGCCUCAACCUCCCGGGUAGCUGGGAUUACAGGCACACGCCACUAUUCUAGGCUAAUUUUUUUAUUUUUUGAGACGGAGUCUCGCUCUUUGCCCAGGCUGGAGUGCAGUGGUACAAUCUCAGCUCACUGCAACCUCUGCCUCCUGGGUUUAAGCGAUUCUCCUGCCUCAGCCUCCUGAGUAGUGGGAUUACAGGUGCGCACCACCACGCCUGGCUAAUUUUUGUAUUUUUAGCAGAGACGGGGUUUCACCAUGUUGGCCAGGCUGGUCUCAAACUCCUGACCUCAGGUGAUCUGCCUGCCUCAGCCUCAGCCUCCCAAAGUGCUGGCGUGAGCCACGGCUCCCAGCCUACUAUUCCCCUUUUAAAACAGGAACCAACCCUGCAUUUAAUUUUAUGAAGUCUGAUUUAUUUAUUUAUUUAUUUAUUUAUUUAUUUAUUUAGAGAUGGAAUCUCAUUCUGUCACCCAGGCUGGAGUGCGGUGGCGCAAUCUCGGCUCACUGCAACCUUUGCCUCCUGGGUUCAAGCGAUUCUCCUGCCUCAGCCUCCCGAGUAGCUGGGACUAAAGGUACCUGCCACCACGACUGGUGAAUUUUUGUAUUUUUAGUAGAGAUGGGGUUUCACGAUGCUGGUCAGGCUGUUCCACUAUGUUGGCCAGGCUGGUUUCAAACUCCUGACCUCAGGUGAUCCGCCUGCCUCGGCCUCCCAAAGUGCUGGGAUUACAGACGUGAGUCACUCUGCCCAGCCGAA
rnacentral:lncRNA from 1 species